AAAACUUAGGUACAAUUCCUUAGGUGCUUUUCGUAUGGUUUUUAACUAAAAAUACAUAUUUUUUGGAUAUAACAAACUUUGAGAAAAUCAUGGUAUUUUUAGUUAAGAACCAUACGAAAAGCACCUAAGCAAUUGUACCUAAGUUUU
rnacentral:pre_miRNA from 1 species